rnacentral:rRNA from 1 species
AACGAACGCUGGCGGCAGGCUUAACACAUGCAAGUCGAACGCCCCGCAAGGGGUGUGGCAGCCGGGUGAGUACCGCGUGGGAACAUACCCUUUUCUACGGAAUAGCUCUGGGAAACUGGAAUUAAUACCGUAUACGCCCUACGGGGGAAAGAUUUAUCGGGGAAGGAUUGGCCCGCGUUGGAUUAGCUAGUUGGUGGGGUAAAGGCCUACCAAGGCGACGAUCCAUAGCUGGUCUGAGAGGAUGAUCAGCCACAUUGGGACUGAGACACGGCCCAAACUCCUACGGGAGGCAGCAGUGGGGAAUAUUGGACAAUGGGCGCAAGCCUGAUCCAGCCAUGCCGCGUGAGUGAUGAAGGCCUUAGGGUUGUAAAGCUCUUUCACCGAUGAAGAUAAUGACGGUAGUCGGAGAAGAAGCCCCGGCUAACUUCGUG